rnacentral:tRNA from 1 species
UCCCAGGUAGCUUAAUGGUAGAGCAACCGACCGGCAAUUGGAGGACCUGGGUUCAAGUUCCGGCCCGGGCU